UCUUAUGGGUGAGGAAAGAAAGUGGUUUCUUGAUAAAGAAUUUACUCCUGGUGGAGAUGCUGAGAA
rnacentral:pre_miRNA from 1 species